CCCAAGAGUUCAUAUCGACGGCGGUGUUUGGCACCUCGAUGUCGGCUCAUCACAUCCUGGGGCUGAAGUAGGUCCCAAGGGUAUGGCUGUUCGCCAUUUAAAGUGGUACGCGAGCUGGGUUUAGAACACGCGAGUAUUCGCGCCCU
rnacentral:rRNA from 1 species